CUUACAAUAAAACUUUUUUUAUUAUUUCAUAUUUUUUCAAAAGCAAGAAUACUCAAUAACAUGAUUAUCAGAAAAAAUAUAUAUACUAUAAAUAUGGUUUUAACUAUGCCAGCAGCUAUAAUAAUACAACCAUGCAUAAUUUGACCUUAUGGUGCCCCAUUUGAUUGACAGCAGUUGAAUAAAGUGGUAUCCUAAAGUACUUUCCUUGGCUGCCUUAAGCUUGCUUCUCAUAGGUUAACAUCUUUCAAAAUGGAAAUUUGACAAUACUUGUGUUUUUAUUAUCCAUUACAUACAAGCCAUGCAUGUAUUUAGAAGUGACCAAUGAAUCACCACUACUGUUAGGACUUGAGCAGAAAAGCUUAGUUAACUUCCAUUUAAAAGGAGAAAAAAACACAAUGUUAUUUCUAAGUUAUCUUUGAUAAUAUAGUUAAAUGCACAUUCACUGGUAUCACUUCAUCUUCAAUAUAUAUCCCCCAGAUUCAUCAUCAUACAUGGAGUUUAGUUUUUCAAGGAUUUCAUGAGUAAAACACAAAUACAAAUCUUCAACAAAGUAAAUGUUUCAUCUUGGCAUGUUUGCGGACUUUAAAAAACCCUGAGAAUUGGUAACAAAUAAACCCAUAGUGCAUGGAUAAAAAGUAAGACUUGACCAGUACCAUAUUACGGUAAAUAAUUCAGUUUACUGUAAACCAACUUAUUUUUUCAGAUACUUUAUUUUGCAUUUAGCUCUUACCUCCCCAUUUCACAGAGAUUUAAUUUCGCUAUUUUCAUAUUAAUUUGAUGUAGUGAAAAAAGGAAAGAUUCAAGUUGUACAUAUUUGCAUAUGGAUGUUACUUUUCUAUAAUCGCAAACUAUGCCCAAAAAAACGAUCUCGAAAUUAGAUGGUUUGCAGUAGCCACAUCUUUUCAUUUAUUUAUUUCACAACAGGACUAUAGUUAACCUUAGAGAAACAAGCCUCUGUACACAACCUUCGUGCUGAUACGCUUCUUAAGCCAAUCUGUUUCAGCCAUUUACCUUUCAUUUUAACCUAUGAAGAGGUUGACAAACAGUUAUAUCAGUGUGAAAAAUAUAUCAUGAUUUUAUUACAUAUGACAAUUUAUCAUAUUUAAAGUUUUGACUUAUUCAGGAAAAAAAAAAAUUAUGGAAUUCUUAAAACAAGGAUAACCCACAGGCCACUUAUGUUGCUUUUGAUUCAUCCUUGGCUAUGACUUAGUAACACUUCUGGAAGUAAAAUGAGAAAACCUCUGGAAUAAAAAAAAGAAAGAUUACAAAUCUCAUUUUGGCAAUGUCCUUAAAAUAAAAACUCUAGUGAAUAAGAACUAAAGCUUAAAUAAAUUUUCCUUAAACUUUAAAUAGCCCACUUACAUUUGUAUUAUUAGAAAGAGUAAAUGAAAGAACUUCAUAACUAUUUUUGUACACAAAUUUGAGAAGAAAAUAAAUAUAGACUUAGUUUUUAGUUUCAGUUUUUACAAUAUGAUGAAGGGUUUUUCUAGGAAUAAUUACAUCAAAAGGUUAGAACUUCAUAGAAAGUGGAUGAAUUUCAUCAUUUGUUAGAUUUGUAAUCAUUUUAUACAGAAAACAAUUUAAAUGUCCAAAUUAUGUUGGUGUACCCCAAAAUAGAAAAGGGAUUUCUUAAACCCUUUAAGGCGUAUCCAUUAAGUGAUUUUUAAUCACUUCAAAAAGUCCAUUAUCAUGAAAAUUGUGAAAUCAUACAUUUUUAAAAAUCUAUGUACAUGAAAAAUUAAAACACCAUCCCUUUUACCAAAAUGUAUUGUUUAUGGUAUUAAUAUCAAAGUUAAAAGUUCUAACGAAUAACUGAAGAAGUGUUUAUUUAAAUAAAUAAGGACUAAGUAAUAUUUUUCAAGUUUAAAUUUGUACAAUUUACUUGAUUACUGAUUAGAAUCUUGUCAACCUCUUCAUGGCCAAAAGUUUAAUCACAAUGGACCUAUCCCAGUGGACCUUCAUAUAAAAAAUUACAAAAUAUGUAUAAUAACACAAGGAAUAGAUAUUUUGAUAUCAUUAUAAAAUGUCACUGGUUUAUACAGAAAAUGUCAAACAAUUUGAAAGUUCUGUUGAGCAGUAAUAUGAGCAGAAGAGAAUUUUUCUUGUUUUUUGGUUCUUCAAAUCAACAGGAAUUUAUAAUUGUAUUUUGUGCACUAUUGAAAAUAUUAAAAAAAAAUAAAAAACAUGGCAAAAAUUACUUGAAAGUAUCUAUCCAAAUUCCCUGCCUGAAACAUACUUCCCCAUGAAGCCAAUUCAUAAUAAAUUAUUGAUGAUUUUUUAUGAAAGUAUUUUGAUCUUCUUUGGAAGUUUUGUGAAUGAUUUCUAUGUUUUGGAUGUAAAGGAAUUAUUAAAUAUCAAAUUUUUAAAACACCUGGUGGAAAAAUGUGAGUACACAUUAUAAAUUUCCUUCAUCUUACACAAAUAUCAUAGUAAGAGUUCUGGAAACAAAGAUAUAAUUUAAAUAAAGCACACAAAGUAAUGUCCUGUGACAGAAUACCAAAAACAAAAAUGUGAACAAAGGUGUUUAAUUAUUCCAGACAAAUGUUAUAAUACUUAAAGAAAAAUGUAAAAGACCAUGCUACUGUUAACAUAAAUGUAAUGUGGCAUAAUUAUGUAUAGAUUGAUGACAAUUUGAAUCAUUUCAGUUAAUUUGAAUUCUAAACUACCAAAUAUUCCUCAAAAUGGAACCAAUAAGUAAUUUUCAAUGGGUACUUCUUUAAACUGAUACUUCUAGAUAUGAAAGACAAAGAUAUUGUAAAAGAAACCACUAAUUUCAAUUUUGAAUGGAGUGUGUGAAUUGUUCAAUCAUAAAGAUAUGUAUAAAUAUUUGAUAUAAAUAUACACUUGAAACGACAUGAUAAAAUAUAGACAAAAACAAUAAAAAACAAAAAAACAAUUAGCACUUAUCAUAUUCAUUCAUUCAUCAACAAGUUCUUUGCUACAUUUGUGUGCAAGACUCUAAAUGCAGACAUUUUGUAAAAUUUGUUCAUAAAAUUUGCUUGCUUUCAAAUUUUAAAACAUUUGUAAUUGUGUACAAUUUUGUAAUUUUGGCGAUAUAAGAUAUAUAUGCAAUGAUUAAUUUAUAAUAUCUGUACAAAAACAAAAUGCUUGAAAUUUGAAGAAAAUUGUUGCAAUUAGACCAUGUUUGCAGCAAUAUUAGGAAAAAAUUAUGCGAUCUUUCUUGUCAGGAAAUUGAAGGCUCAAUAAAUGUUGCCAAUUGACACCAACAGCUAAAACAGGUUCUUUUGGUCCAAUAAAGCUUAAAACGAAUUUAAUUUAUAUAUGACUGAAGUUCUCAACAAACCAAAUUUUAAAGUUAGAUUGCAACAUUUUGCUUUUCUGGUGCUACAAAAAAUUAUGUAAAUGUACCAAAAACAGUAUUGUUCCAAAAAAAUCUGAGGAAAAUUGUUUUAUUGUUCAAAAUUGUCUGACAUUUCAAGAUGUGUUUACAAAUGUAGCAAACUAUGGUUACAAAGUUGAUUUAAAUCAGCACUAAAAGUAAUGAGCUUUUUUAGCAUAAUACAUUGUAAACUAUAUUUCAAUCUCUCUAUACCCAAAUGAAGUUCUUAAGAGUUAAAUGUUGCAUAUAUUGGCAAAAAAAUGGCAAUCAGAAAAAAUAAUCACAGACAUUGUUUUGCUCAAGAUUAGUGAGCACUGGACGGAAUUUGAGUCAAUUUCAUAUCAUAAUUUUUUCUUCAAUAUUUAUUGAAGGCAUACCCUAUAUAUCUAUGUUAUAUUAAAAUAAAUUUUAAAUACACAAUCAUUCUGAUAAAUGAUAAAUCUAUACAUAAUUUACAACCUACGCUUUAUUACUUGUAAAACAAUAACAGUAAUGUAUUUCUGUUUAAGACUGAAUAAUUGUUGUUUGUUUACUGCAUUAGAGAGCAGUGAUUUAUCCUACAUUUUCACAAAUGCACUUUUAUUCACUACUUCUUUGAGAAGUUGAUUAGCAUGUAGAUCUCUGUAUAACUAAGUCUUCUUUGAGGUUAUCCAUAUCUCUUGUUUCUUCAUCAUCAAACCAAGUAUUUCUUCAUAGAACUAUUUCACAUACACAUGUUUGUAUCAAUGCUUACUCUUACAGAGAAUUAUGAUAAAUAUACAGCAGAAUCCUGUAAUUACUUGGAUGUGAUUAUUUUGUUUAAGCAUUUUGGAGUUUUUUUAAUGGAGCAGUCUGCCAAAUGGCUUUUUCUUUAAAUGAAAAAUAAGUAUAGAAACAAAAUAGACUGUCAAUUAGUGUGUGUAUAACUAUAUUAAUUUUUCGAUUGUCAAAAUGAUUUAAGUCAUGAGAUAUAAUGAUAUAUACAUGGCUACACAUGUCAUGAUAAUGGCAUUGAUAAAUUGAGCUAUUUAUAUCUAACUUAUAAUUUGAUAAACUCUAGAAAACAAUUCCCUAUAAAUUAGAAAUCUUAUGAUAGGUUAAAGUACAGUCAACUGUUAUGCAAUAUGUGAUAUGUGUAUGAAAAAAAAAUCCUGAACUCAUCAGUUAAUAAAU
rnacentral:lncRNA from 1 species